AACGCUAGCGGCAGGCCUAACACAUGCAAGUCGAGGGGUAACAGGGAGCUUGCUCCGCUGACGACCGGCGCACGGGUGCGUAACGCGUAUACAAUCUACCUUUUGCUACGGGAUAGCCCAGAGAAAUUUGGAUUAAUACCGCAUAGUAUAUUGAGAUCGCAUGGUUUUAAUAUUAAAGGUUACGGCAGAAGAUGAGUAUGCGUUCUAUUAGCUAGAUGGUGUGGUAACGGCACACCAUGGCAACGAUAGAUAGGGGCCCUGAGAGGGGGAUCCCCCACACUGGUACUGAGACACGGACCAGACUCCUACGGGAGGCAGCAGUGAGGAAUAUUGGACAAUGGGCGAGAGCCUGAUCCAGCCAUGCCGCGUGCAGGAAGACGGCCCUAUGGGUUGUAAACUGCUUUUAUACAGGAAGAAACACCUCUACGUGUAGAGGCUUGACGGUACUGUAAGAAUAAGGAUCGGCUAACUCCGUGCCAGCAGCCGCGGUAAUACGGAGGAUCCAGGCGUUAUCCGGAAUCAUUGGGUUUAAAGGGUCCGUAGGUGGAUAAUUAAGUCAGGGGUGAAAGUCUGCAGCUCAACUGUAGAAUUGCCCUUGAUACUGGUUGUCUUGAGUCAUUAUGAAGUAGUUAGAAUAUGUAGUGUAGCGGUGAAAUGCAUAGAUAUUACAUAGAAUACCAAUUGCGAAGGCAGAUUACUAAUAAUGUACUGACACUGAUGGACGAAAGCGUGGGGAGCGAACAGGAUUAGAUACCCUGGUAGUCCACGCCGUAAACGAUGGAUACUAGCUGUUCGGAUUUAUC
rnacentral:rRNA from 1 species